rnacentral:rRNA from 1 species
CCUUGUACACACCGCCCGUCAAGUCAUGAAAGUCGGUAACACCCGAAGCCAGUGGCCCAACCGCAAGGAGGGAGCUGUCGAAGGUGGGAUCGGUGAUUAGGACGU